CCAAUGAGUUUGGUGAUUCAUAAUAACUUUACGGAUCGCAUUUUUGAUGCGACAUAUCAUUCAAGUUUCUGACUUAUCAGCUUUAGACGGUAGGGUAUUGGCCUACCGUGGUUAUGACGGGUAACGGGGAAUUAGGGUUGGAUUCCGGAGAGGGAGCCUGAGAAACGGUUACCACAUUUAAGGAAGGCAGCAGGCGGGCAAAUUACCCAAUCCUGACACAGGGAGGUAGUGACAAGAAAUAACAAUACAGGGCCUAACGGUCUUGUAAUUGGAAUGAGUGAAGUAUAAACCCCUUUACGAGUAUCAAUUGGAGGGCAAGUCUGGUGCCAGCAGCCGCGGUAAUUCCAGCUCCAAUAGCGUAUAUUAAAGUUGUUGCAGUUAAAAAGCUCGUAGUUGGAUUUCUGUGGUAUAAUUUAUAAUAUUACCAAGGUAAUUAUUAUAUUAUCAACAUCCUUCCUAUUAUAUUCUAAAUAUAUAGGAAAUUUUACUUUGAGAAAAUUAGAGUGCUUAAAGCAGGCAACUGCCUUGAAUACUCCAGCAUGGAAUAAUAAGUAAGGACUUUUGUCUUUCUUAUUGGUUCUAGGACAAAAGUAAUGGUUAAUAGGGACAGUUGGGGGCAUUCGUAUUUAACAGCCAGAGGUGAAAUUCUUAGAUUUGUUAAAGACGAACUACUGCGAAAGCAUUUGCCAAGGAUGUUUUCAUUAAUCAAGAACGAAAGUUAGGGGAUCGAAGACGAUCCAGAUACCGU
rnacentral:rRNA from 1 species